GCUAGCCCAAAUAACAAACAACUAAACUACAAAGCAAGCAUCAAACAAAACAUUUAGUCAUACAUUAAAGUAUAGGAGAUAGAAAUUUUAACUGGAGCUAUAGAGACAGUACCGCAAGGGAAAGAUGAAAGAGAGUUCAAAGUAAAAAAUAGCAAAGAUUACCCCUUCUACCUUUUGCAUAAUGAGUUAGCUAGAACAACUUAACAAAGAGAACUUAAGCUAAGCCCCCCGAAACCAGACGAGCUACCUACGAACAAUCCCCUGGGAUGAACUCAUCUAUGUGGCAAAAUAGUGAGAAGAUUUGCAGGUAGAGGUGAAAAGCCUAACGAGCCUGGUGAUAGCUGGUUACCCAGAAUAGAAUUUCAGUUCAACUUUAAACUUACCUAAAACCCCAAGAAUUUUAAUGUAAGCUUAAAAUAUAAUCUAAAAAGGUACAGCUUUUUAGAUCAAGGAUACAACCUUACUUAGAGAGUAAACAUAAAUAAGACCAUAGUAGGCCGCUUUUUAGAUCAAGGAUACAACCUUACUUAGAGAGUAAACAUAAAUAAGACCAUAGUAGGCCUAAAAGCAGCCAUCAAUUAAGAAAGCGUUAAAGCUCAACAAUUCAAUCAACAUAAUACCAAAAGAACUCAAAACAACUCCUAACGUACUACUGGGUCAAUCUAUUCAAUUAUAGAAGAGACAAUGCUAAUAUGAGUAACAAGAAACCUUUUCUCCUUGCAUAAACUUAUAGCCGAAACGGAUAUCCACUGAUAGUUAACAACAAGAUAAAAUUAACUAACCAAUUAAUACACCUAUCAAACUAAUUGUUAAGCCAACACAGGAAUGCAGCCAAGGAAAGAUUAAAAGAAGUAAAAGGAACUCGGCAAACACAAACCCCGCCUGUUUACCAAAAACAUCACCUCCAGCAUUACUAGUAUUGGAGGCACUGCCUGCCCAGUGACGUAAGUUAAACGGCCGCGGUAUCCUGACCGUGCAAAGGUAGCAUAAUCAUUUGUUCUAUAAAUAAGGACUUGUAUGAAUGGCCACACGAGGGUUUAACUGUCUCUUACUUCCAAUCAGUGAAAUUGACCUUCCCGUGAAGAGGCGGGAAUAAAAUAAUAAGACGAGAAGACCCUAUGGAGCUUUAAUUAACUAACUCAACAGAGCAAAUCCAGUCAACCAACAGGGAAUAAAAAUUUCUACAAUGAGUUAGCAAUUUAGGUUGGGGUGACCUCGGAGAACAAAACAACCUCCGAGUGAUAUAAACUAAGACAAACCAGUCAAAGUGCCACAUCAUUAAUUGAUCCAAAAAUUUUUGAUCAACGGAACAAGUUACCCUAGGGAUAACAGCGCAAUCCUGUUUGAGAGUCCAUAUCGACAAUAGGGUUUACGACCUCGAUGUUGGAUCAGGACAUCCUAAUGGUGCAGCAGCUAUUAAGGGUUCGUUUGUUCAACGAUUAAAGUCCUACGUGAUCUGAGUUCAGACCGGAGUAAUCCAGGUCGGUUUCUAUCUAUUAACCAGUUCCUCCCAGUACGAAAGGACAAGAGAAACAAGGCCCACCUCAACACAGGCGCCUUAAGACUAAUAGAUGAUAUAAUCUCAAUCUAACCAGUCUAAUCCCCCAUGAGUCCAAGAAACAGGACUU
rnacentral:rRNA from 1 species